rnacentral:rRNA from 1 species
UACGUAGGUGGCAAGCGUUGUCCGGAAUUACUGGGUGUAAAGCGCGUGUAGGCGGCAGGCCAAGUCUGCGGUGAAAGCGCCCGGCUCAACUGGGCGAGGUCCGUGGAAACUGGUCAGCUGGAGGACGGUAGAGGCGAGUGGAAUUCCCGGUGUAGUGGUGAAAUGCGUAGAGAUCGGGAGGAACACCUGUGGCGAAGGCGGCUCGCUGGGCCGGUCCUGACGCUGAGACGCGAAGGCGUGGGGAGCGAAUGGG